UCCCUGAUAGCUCAGUUGGUAAAGAAUCUGCUUGCAAUGCAGAAGAACCCGGUUUGAUUCCUGGAUUGGGAA
rnacentral:tRNA from 1 species